UAUGGAGAGUUUGAUCCUGGCUCAGAGUGAACGCUGGCGGCGUGCCUAAUACAUGCAAGUCGAACGAUGAAGCUUUCUAGCUUGCUAGAAUGCUGAUUAGUGGCGCACGGGUGAGUAACGCAUAGGUCAUGUGCCUCUUAGUUUGGGAUAGCCAUUGGAAACGAUGAUUAAUACCAGAUACUCCCUACGGGGGAAAGAUUUAUCGCUAAGAGAUCAGCCUAUGUCCUAUCAGCUUGUUGGUAAGGUAAUGGCUUACCAAGGCUAUGACGGGUAUCCGGCCUGAGAGGGUGAACGGACACACUGGAACUGAGACACGGUCCAGACUCCUACGGGAGGCAGCAGUAGGGAAUAUUGCUCAAUGGGGGAAACCCUGAAGCAGCAACGCCGCGUGGAGGAUGAAGGUUUUAGGAUUGUAAACUCCUUUUGUUAGAGAAGAUAAUGACGGUAUCUAACGAAUAAGCACCGGCUAACUCCGUGCCAGCAGCCGCGGUAAUACGGAGGGUGCAAGCGUUACUCGGAAUCACUGGGCGUAAAGAGCGCGUAGGCGGGAUAGUCAGUCAGGUGUGAAAUCCUAUGGCUUAACCAUAGAACUGCAUUUGAAACUACUAUUCUAGAGUGUGGGAGAGGUAGGUGGAAUUCUUGGUGUAGGGGUAAAAUCCGUAGAGAUCAAGAGGAAUACUCAUUGCGAAGGCGACCUGCUGGAACAUUACUGACGCUGAUUGCGCGAAAGCGUGGGGAGCAAACAGGAUUAGAUACCCUGGUAGUCCACGCCCUAAACGAUGGAUGCUAGUUGUUGGAGGGCUUAGUCUCUCCAGUAAUGCAGCUAACGCAUUAAGCAUCCCGCCUGGGGAGUACGGUCGCAAGAUUAAAACUCAAAGGAAUAGACGGGGACCCGCACAAGCGGUGGAGCAUGUGGUUUAAUUCGAAGAUACACGAAGAACCUUACCUAGGCUUGACAUUGAGAGAAUCCGCUAGAAAUAGUGGAGUGUCUGGCUUGCCAGACCUUGAAAACAGGUGCUGCACGGCUGUCGUCAGCUCGUGUCGUGAGAUGUUGGGUUAAGUCCCGCAACGAGCGCAACCCCCUUUCUUAGUUGCUAACAGGUCAUGCUGAGAACUCUAGGGAUACUGCCUCCGUAAGGAGGAGGAAGGUGGGGACGACGUCAAGUCAUCAUGGCCCUUACGCCUAGGGCUACACACGUGCUACAAUGGGGUGCACAAAGAGAAGCAAUACUGCGAAGUGGAGCCAAUCUUCAAAACACCUCUCAGUUCGGAUUGUAGGCUGCAACUCGCCUGCAUGAAGCUGGAAUCGCUAGUAAUCGCAAAUCAGCCAUGUUGCGGUGAAUACGUUCCCGGGUCUUGUACUCACCGCCCGUCACACCAUGGGAGUUGUGUUUGCCUUAAGUCAGGAUGCUAAAUUGGCUACUGCCCACGGCACACACAGCGACUGGGGUGAAGUCGUAACAAGGUAACCGUAGGUGAACCUGCGGUUGGAUCACCUCCUU
rnacentral:rRNA from 1 species